rnacentral:rRNA from 1 species
AGAGUUUGAUCAUGGCUCAGGAUGAACGCUAGCGACAGGCCUAACACAUGCAAGUCGAGGGGCAGCGAAGAGGUAGCAAUACCUUUUGUCGGCGACCGGCGCACGGGUGAGUAACACGUAUGCAAUCCACCUGUAACAGGGGGAUAACCCGGAGAAAUCCGGACUAAUACCCCAUAAUAUGGGCGCUCCGCAUGGAGAACCCAUUAAAGAGAGCAAUUUUGGUUACAGACGAGCAUGCGCUCCAUUAGCCAGUUGGCGGGGUAACGGCCCACCAAAGCGACGAUGGAUAGGGGUUCUGAGAGGAAGGUCCCCCACAUUGGUACUGAGACACGGACCAAACUCCUACGGGAGGCAGCA